rnacentral:tRNA from 1 species
GCGGGUGUGGUUCAAUGGUAGAACGACAGCCUUCCAAGCUGUAGAUCGGGGUUCAAUUCCCCGUACCCGCU